rnacentral:rRNA from 1 species
UACGUAGGGGGCAAGCGUUGUCCGGAAUCAUUGGGCGUAAAGCGCGUGUAGGCGGCUCGGUAAGUCUGCUGUGAAAGUCCAGGGCUCAACCCUGGGAUGCCGGUGGAUACUGUCGAGCUCGAGUCCGGAAGAGGCGAGUGGAAUUCCUGAUGUAGCGGUGAAAUGCGCAGAUAUCAGGAGGAACACCAAUGGCGAAGGCAGCUCGCUGGGACGUGACUGACGCUGAGACGCGAAAGCGUGGGGAGCAAACAGG